AUUGAACGCUGGCGGCAUGCCUUACACAUGCAAGUCGAACGGCAGCACGGGAGCAAUCCUGGUGGCGAGUGGCGAACGGGUGAGUAAUAUAUCGGAACGUGCCCAGUCGUGGGGGAUAACGUAGCGAAAGCUACGCUAAUACCGCAUACUAUCUAUGGAUGAAAGCGGGGGAUCGCAAGACCUCGCGCGAUUGGAGCGGCCGAUAUCAGAUUAGGUAGUUGGUGAGGUAAAGGCUCACCAAGCCGACGAUCUGUAGCUGGUCUGAGAGGACGACCAGCCACACUGGGACUGAGACACGGCCCAGACUCCUACGGGAGGCAGCAGUGGGGAAUUUUGGACAAUGGCGGCAAGCCUGAUCCAGCAAUGCCGCGUGCAGGAUGAAGG
rnacentral:rRNA from 1 species